CUGUGACAAAAGGGUACUCUAAACUAUCAGUACACAUGUUUAUCUAUUUUGGUGCGUAUAAGAUUUACCUAGUUAUUCAAUUUCAAAACCAAUGCCAAUAUUGUGCUUUUAUUCUUGGUACAACAAUGAAGAAGAAACUACUCGAGCACUUUCUGAAUGAAAGUUUAGCUAUAACAGUUAAUGCCGCCUGAACGCAUGUAAUGCUUUUGACUCCAUCCCAGCUCAUAUGAAGAGAAAUACCUCCAAGGAGAUGUGACAAGAUCUCGAGUUAUGUCCUUGUGAGACUGAGCAGCAUUAAGGAGACUGGUCAGGAUGGAGGGAAGGUUGAAUGGAUCAGAAUGGAUACAGCGAAUACCUUAUCCAGAAUGCACAGGGCCUCAGACUGUGGCAAAGAUUCAUCCUUCAGACAACAACAACACAGCUAAGAUGAUACUGCAGUGGCUUUGGAACAAAACUGCAAAUGUCCUUGAGUGGCCCAGCCAAAGCCCAGACUUGAACCCACUUGAACGUUUGUGGGGAGACCUGAACAUGGCAGUUCACCCACACUUCCCAUCAAAUCUGAUUAAGCUUGAGAUGAUUCACAAGAAUGGGAGAAACUGUCCAAAUCCAUCUGUUGCAAAGCUGGUAAAGGCAUGCCCAAGAAAACCCC
ensembl:lncRNA